rnacentral:rRNA from 1 species
UACGAAGGGUGCAAGCGUUACUCGGAAUUACUGGGCGUAAAGCGUGCGUAGGCGGUUCGUUAAGUCCGUUGUGAAAGCCCUGGGCUCAACCUGGGAAUGGCAGUGGAUACUGGCGAGCUAGAGUGUGAUAGAGGAUGGUGGAAUUCCCGGUGUAGCGGUGAAAUGCGUAGAGAUCGGGAGGAACACCAGUGGCGAAGGCGGCUCACUGGACCGGUACUGACGCUGAUGCGCGAAAGCGUGGGGAGCAAACAGG